rnacentral:rRNA from 1 species
AGGAGCUUGCUCCUCUGACGUUAGCGGCGGACGGGUGAGUAACACGUGGAUAACCUACCUAUAAGACUGGGAUAACUUCGGGAAACCGGAGCUAAUACCGGAUAAUAUAUUGAACCGCAUGGUUCAAUAGUGAAAGACGGUUUUGCUGUCACUUAUAGAUGGAUCCGCGCCGCAUUAGCUAGUUGGUAAGGUAACGGCUUACCAAGGCGACGAUGCGUAGCCGACCUGAGAGGGUGAUCGGCCACACUGGAACUGAGACACGGUCCAGACUCCUACGGGAGGCAGCAGUAGGGAAUCUUCCGCAAUGGGCGAAAGCCUGACGGAGCAACGCCGCGUGAGUGAUGAAGGUCUUAGGAUCGUAAAACUCUGUUAUUAGGGAAGAACAAACGUGUAAGUAACUGUGCACGUCUUGACGGUACCUAAUCAGAAAGCCACGGCUAACUACGUGCCAGCAGCCGCGGUAAUACGUAGGUGGCCAAGCGUUAUCCGGAAUUAUUGGGCGUAAAGCGCGCGUAGGCGGUUUUUUAAGUCUGAUGUGAAAGCCCACGGCUCAACCGUGGAGGGUCAUUGGAAACUGGAAAACUUGAGUGCAGAAGAGGAAAGUGGAAUUCCAUGUGUAGCGGUGAAAUGCGCAGAGAUAUGGAGGAACACCAGUGGCGAAGGCGACUUUCUGGUCUGUAACUGACGCUGAUGUGCGAAAGCGUGGGGAUCAAACAGGAUUAGAUACCCUGGUAGUCCACGCCGUAAACGAUGAGUGCUAAGUGUUAGGGGGUUUCCGCCCCUUAGUGCUGCAGCUAACGCAUUAAGCACUCCGCCUGGGGAGUACGACCGCA